UAGCUCAGUUGGUAGAGCAUGGUGUUUGCAACGCCAGGGUUGUGGGUUCGAUGCCCAC
rnacentral:tRNA from 1 species